CCAGCUCCAAUAGCGUAUAUUAAAGUUGUUGCAGUUAAAAAGCUCGUAGUUGGAUUUCUGUUUUGGAUGUCCGGUCGGCUCCUUCUGGGAGGUUGUACUUAUGGAUGUUCGAGGCAUUUUUUGUGAGGUCGUUUUUCUGCCAUUAAGUUGGUGGUCUUUCGGUCUUGCAUCGUUUACUGUGAAAAAAUUAGAGUGUUUAAAGCAGGCGUUUGCUCAUUUGAAUACAUUAGCAUGGAAUAAUAAGAUACGGCCUUGGUGGUCUAUUUUGUUGGUUUGCACACCAGGGUAAUGAUUAAUAGGGACAGUUGGGGGUAUUCAUAUUUCAGCGUCAGAGGUGAAAUUCUUGGAUCGCUGAAAGAUGAGCUUAGGCGAAAGCAUUUACCAAGGAUGUUUUCA
rnacentral:rRNA from 1 species